UUUUGCGCAAGGUCCUCAGUCACCAUUUCCAAGUCCGUCUGAGGGCAGAAAGAGAGCUGGCUGGGAGAUUUUUCAGGGAAACUUAGCAGACAGACGCUGUCAACAAACCACAGGACCUACUAGCUCCAGCUGUUCGAUGGAUUUUCUGUUAGCCAGGCAUCACCAUAAGCAGUUCUGCAUGAUCUGAGGAAAAAGUCACUAUGUGCGAUAAAACUGUUCACACAGUUCCAAUGCCCACCAGCUGUUCUUCAUGUUUCACACAACACCUGUGUUUUCUCACUAGUUAAUCCAAGGGUAGCAGAACGCUAGCUUGAGCUUCUUCUGACCACAUGGAAAUGGAGUGAAAGCACCACCAGUUCCAGCUCUCCAUAUAUGAGUGAAGAAGGACAAGUGCUGAGUGAGUAGCAUUGCUCAUUUACAUGAAGUAAUUUGUAGCAAUAAAAUGUUUUUAUUGUAAAUACUUAUAUUGUUAUGACAAUAUAACAAUAAUUGCAUAACCCUACUCAUCAGCUGCCUCUUUAUAAUCUAAUAAAGACUAAAACUGA